ACCAGGCACGAUGCCUGUAGUCCCAGUUACUCGGGAGGCUGAGGCUGGAGGAUCGCUUGAGCCCAGGAGUUCUGGGCUGUAGUGCGCUAUGCCGAUCGGGUGUCCGCACUAAGUUCGGCAUCAAAAUGGUGACCUCCUGGGAGUGGGGGACCACCAGGUUACCUAAGGAGGGGUGAACCGGCUCAGGUUGGAAACAGAGCAGGUCAAAACUCCCGUGCUGAGCAGUAGUGGGAUCGUGCCUAUGAAUAGCCACUGCACUCCAGCCUGGGCAACAUAGCAAGACCCUCUCUCUU
ensembl:misc_RNA Metazoa_SRP Metazoan signal recognition particle RNA